UACGAAGGGGGCUAGCGUUGCUCGGAUUGACUGGGCGUAAAGGGCGCGUAGGCGGUUCGUACAGUCAGACGUGAAAUCCUGGGCUCAACCUGGGGGCUGCGUUUGAUACGUGCGGACUUGAGUGCGGAAGAGGGUCGUGGAAUUCCCAGUGUAGAGGUGAAAUUCGUAGAUAUUGGGAAGAACACCGGUGGCGAAGGCGGCGACCUGGUCCGAUACUGACGCUGAGGCGCGAAAGCGUGGGGGAGCAAACAGG
rnacentral:rRNA from 1 species